rnacentral:tRNA from 1 species
GACCAUUGAAGUUAGAGGAAUUAACACCCGACUAAUAAUCGGCUAUUUCGCAGGUUCGAAUCCUGUCAUUGGUCA